rnacentral:rRNA from 1 species
AGGACGAACGCUGGCGGCGUGCUUAACACAUGCAAGUCGAGCGGAAAGGCCCUUCGGGGUACUCGAGCGGCGAACGGGUGAGUAACACGUGAGCAACCUGCCCUUAGCUCCGGGAUAGCUCCGGGAAACCGGAAUUAAUACCGGAUAUGACCUAGGCCGACAUCGGCUGUGGUGGAAAGUUUUUCGGCUGGGGAUGGACUCGCGGCCUAUCAGCUUGUUGGUGGGGUAAUGGCCUACCAAGGCGACGACGGGUAGCCGGCCUGAGAGGGCGACCGGCCACACUGGGACUGAGACACGGCCCAGACUCCUACGGGAGGCAGCAGUGGGGAAUCUUGCGCAAUGGGCGAAAGCCUGACGCAGCGACGCCGCGUGGGGAUGGAAGGCCUUCGGGUUGUAAACCCCUUUCAGCAGGGACGAAGCGAAGUGACGGUACUGCAGAGAGCGCCGGCUAACUACGCGCCAGCAGCCGC